GGAUAUAAUUCAAUUGAUAGAAUGCUUGCCUUGCAUGCACAAGGCCCUGGGUUCAAUCCCCAGCACCA
rnacentral:tRNA from 1 species